AUUAAUUCUGUUUCCUGUUUUCCUGUUGUGUUCGCUAUAACAACUAUAGUUAGCGAGUUGGAAAGAACCAGAAUAAGUUUUAAAUAUUCCUUCCCUUAGUUCCUUGAUGUGCAUUCCAAAUACAGAGUGAAUGACAAAUCAGUGGGCAUACCAUGGUUGCCUGUGCAGCAUUCGGAUGCAAAAAUCGGUCCGAGAAGGGUUUCCGUAUGUAUGGCUUCCCCAAGAACCAAGAGCGCCAGAAAAAAUGGAUGGCAAUGGUCAGCCGUGGAAACCUGAAAAUGAAAGGAGCCAGCAACAACAUAAAACUUUGUCAUGUACACUUUGAGGAUGACCAAUUCGCUGCCACAAAAACAGGACGCAAGUUGAGAUUGAAGUCAGAUGCCGUGCCAACACUCUUCAGUCAUCGGCCUAAGCCGAAGAGGAGGAAACCCCCUUUUGUCAGGGUGCCUCCAAUCCGAAUUGAAAAGGACCAUACAUAUUGUACCAAGUCAAACUUUGGUGUCGCUGUGGUUUUUGCCAUAAAAUGCCCACUGAAGUUGAAAAUGUCUGCUGCCAGGAAAUUCCUAAGGUUCUAAUUCUUGAUACAUCAAACAUGAAAUACCAUUGACAAAAUUUGUAAAUAAUCAAAUUUAGCUAAAUAUUUGUCUCAAAACUUUUUUAACCCCUCGUUUAAAUACGUAUUUGUUUUUGGAAGCAGGUGUGUUUGUAAUUUACUGUAAGUGAGAAUACUUGUCCCCCCCCCCCAAAAAGAUCUUGAGAAGAAUGCAUCAGAUGCCUACAGAAUUAGUGUGCAUAACAGACCAUCCUGGAUUUCAAGCAAAUUGUCUGAACCACUACGUUUUGCAAAAUAUCAGUAAUAUCUACAAAGUUUACUGUGGACCAGUCCCGAGAAGAACAGUUGAACAAGUUUUCAGAUUCGUGGCAUAUCGCAGUUUUGUGAGUUGGUGCUGGGGAUUGCUAGGAGCCGAAGUAAGAGUGGUUAUUCCGUCGUGCGCGGUCCGACGGAUAAGACUGGAGUUUCCCGACCCUGAUGGACUCAAUGUUGGCUUCCAGCCUAUUGGCUUCCGACCACCGCUGGAUUAAAUCUGGAAAUCUGAGUCUGGAACCUUCUCCGGCUAUUUUUGGAACUUUUUGGGAUCAGCAAGUACUUCAUUGAGAAGCAGGUGCAUCAGAUCACUCCUGUAUGCUAUGAAAUUGUAAAUAUUGGUAAAACGUCUAACAUGAAAAUGUGUGAGAAAAUAUUUUACCGAAUACGGGGUUAUUUUUUAAUAGGUCUUGCAUUAUAUGUCCCUUUUUGGACUUUGAAGAUAGGGUUUUUUAUGAUUUAAGUGGUUUUUUUUUUUUUAGAUUGAAAAUAUACACUCACCAGCAACUUCAUCAGGUACACCUGUCCAACUGCUCGUUAACACUUAAUUUCUCAUCAGCCAAUCACAUGGCGGCAACUCAGUGCAUUUAGGCAUGAAGACAUGGUUUAAGACAAUCUCCUGCAGUUCAAACCGAGCAUCAGUAUGGGGAAGAAAGGUGAUUUGAGUGGCUUUGAAUGUGGCAUGGUUGUUGGUGCCAGAAGGGCCGGUCUGAGUAUUUCAGAAACUGCUGAUCUACUAGGAUUUUCACGCACAACCAUCUCUAGGGUUUACAGAGAAUGGUCCGAAAAAGAAAAAAUAUAUAGUGAGCGGCGGUUCUGUGGGCGGAAAUGCCUUGUUGAUGCCAAAGGUCAGAGGAGAAUGGCCAGACUGGUUCGAGCUGAUAGAAAGGCAUCAGUGACUCAAAUAACCACCUGUUACAACCAAGGUAGGCAGAAGAGCAUCUCUGAAUGCACAGUACGUCGAACUUUGAGACUGAUGGGCUACAGCAGCAGAAGACCAUGCCACUCCUUUCAGUUAAGAACAGGAAACUACAUCUUGCACAAGCUCAUCGAAAUUGGACAAUAGAAUAUUGUAAAAUCGUUGCCUGGUCUGAUGAGUCACGAUUUCUGCUGCGACAUUCGGAUGGUAGGGUCAGAAUUUGGUGUCAACAACAUGAAAGUAUGGAUCCAUCCUGCCUUGUAUCAACGGUUCAGGCUGGUGGUGGUGGUGUAAUGGUGUGGGGAAUAUUUUCUUGGCACUCUUUGGGCCCCUUGGUACCAAUUGAGCAUCGUUAGAACGCCACAGCCUACCUGAGUAUUGUUGCUGACCAUGUCCAUCCCUUUAUGACCACAAUGUACCCAACUUCUGAUGGCUACUUUCUGCAGGAUAAUGCACCAUGUCAUAAAGCUGGAAUCAUCUCAGACUGGUUUAUUGAACAUGACAAUGAGUUCACUGUACUCAAAUGGCCUCCACAGUCACCAGAUCUCAAUCCAAUAGAGCAUCUUUGGGAUGUGAUGAAACGGGAGAUUUGCAUCAUGGAUGUGCAGCCGACAAAUCUGCACCAACUGUGUGAUGCCAUCAUGUCAAUAUGGACCAAACUCUCUGAGGAAUGCUUCCAGCACCUUGUUGAAUCCAUGCCACGAAGAAUUGAGGCAGUUCUGAAGGCUAAAAGGGGGUCCAACCCGUUACUAGCAUGGUGUACCUAAUAAAGUGGCCGGUGAGUGUAUAUUUCUAUUGAAGCAGUUUUUCUUUGAUUCAAUAAUAAAUAUACAAAUCUGCCUCCAUACAUAACCCUUAAGUAGGCGGGGAAAAAGCGUGCAAAGACACCUAUGAGAGGUUUUACACGUGCCAGUGACGCCCUUAUUGCAAGCUGCAGACAGACCUUUCUUUCGAGGGGCUCUCGUCUCCAUAAACUUGUGUUGUAUACAUUUAGAUAAUUCCACAGCGGGGCGCGUGUACAAGGGCAUAAGUUUGCAUAGGGACGUGAGAGACCUAUCAGGUUGCUCAAAUUGUCCCCACCAACUUUUAAGCAUCCUCAUUUGGAUUAUAUAAUGAGUUCAGUUAUUAAAGUACUUUUGAUUGUCUUCCCAUUUGUUGUCAGGAUAGAAUAGACCCUACCAUUAUUAAGUGAAUUAUUUUCAUUAUGUUCAGACUUACAUUUAUCCCUUUUCACUUGCUGAAUGUGCCUUUUUUUUCCCCCUCAAACGCACGUUUGAUUGGCUAAUGACUUGAACACCCCCAUCCCGUCCCGCCACCACACAGACACACACUCACACCCACACUGCCCCACUGAGCCCGACAGGAAUUCAAUAUGCCGCCGCCGCCGCCGCCUCCCCCGCUGUAGUGUUCUAGUUUACAAGUCUUGUGAGACUUGCGCGCGAGAAGUGCGGAAAAUAGCGUCAGCUAGUUAUGGAGUUGUGGUAGAUGUGUGUUGAGUUGAUUCCCUAAUAAAACCAUUGAAAUGGGCCUCCAUAUCCGUGUGCGUGAUUCUAAAAACACCACGCCCACUUCCAAGAUGAGGGAUAUUAGAAGUUUUUUUCAAGCAGCAGCAGCAGUUACAGUAAGUAAUGUAAAUGUACUCUGACAAAAAGUGACAGUAGUAGUUAGAUCGUUCACUUGUUGGCACUUUGGGCUAAUCAGCCCAGGAUGCCAAUCAGCACGUUGACCCCUUCUAUUCUCCCAGUCGGCGUGAUGUCACGAUGAGCAUAGCAACGUGCCGCCAUUUUGAGAGGGGGGCACGCACAGGUAAACAUCCGUGGACAAACAUUGGAAAAUCAUAUAUUUCAGCUGUGUUUUGAGUCUUUUUUUCAUAAAAACGUCUUAAACAUGACAUGAAUUAUUAUCACGAGUCACUGCUGAAAGACGCGAGGAGGCGAUACAACUUAAAAUUAGCGUGUAUUGGCCUGCAAAUCUGCUCAUGCAAAGUCGCAGCUGAUAGCUGGAUAAACAAUCCAAAGGAAUUGCCUGCAGUGGAGUUCGGAAACAUCUACAACUACCUCAUAAAGUCACCCAGUAAGCUGACCUUUAUCAAUUACGUGGAAUAUGUACUGUGUGGAACUAAGAAAACUGGUAGUAUAUACGGAGUGAUUAUUUCUGCCGUAACCGGUAUUUUGCCCCCAAGAGUUAUUUAGCCGUGAACACGUAACGGAAAAAUAACCAAUUCUCACCAGGCCAAUAAUAUACCGGUUGACCGAUCAGAGCAGUUCACGGCAAAAGAAAAAUAACGCUUUGCGAGUUGUCGGUUCCGGUAAUAAUAACCACUGCAUAGUCUGGGGAUGGGAAUUGAUACGAUUUUUACGAUUCCAAUUCCAUUAUCGAUAAUGCUUAACGAUUCGAUUCUUUAUCGAUUCUCUUAUCGAUUCUAAUUUGGGAGAAAAAGAAGAACAAACGUUUUGAUUGGCAUCGAGUUUGUUUAAUCAGAAGUCACAACCUUACAAACUCACAACGAGGUCAAAAGAGGCCCAAAGCCUCAUACUUAACUGUGGCAAUAAGUGGCAAAUACAAAAGAAUGUGUAUCAUUUUACUGAAACAUUUUUCUAAUAGAAAUAAAAAAUAUUGGUAUAUAUUGGCAUCAGGGGUCACGUUAACCGAAUAUUUUCCGUCGUUGACCGUUUUUUUAAAACGGUGACAGAAAAAACUGAAGUCCAUCUGUCAUUUUGACAGGUUGCAAUUCACACCCCAGACCACAGGGUGGCGAGUGAGCAUAUUAAUUAGCUAUUUUCUCUUGAUGCAUGACGUCGUUGGCCUUACUCGGAAAAAUGUCAAGGCAACUGAGUGUCCGAAGUUUCUUCAAAAAGCCCCCAAACGACGAUGGUGUUGAUAAAAGAGGUGAAAAAAGAGGGACUGCACAAGCGGGCACGCAAUUCAAGUCCAUGCGCACCAGGAGGAAGGUGUGAGACUGCGUUCAGGCCACAGCAGGUGAACUGUUAAUUUCAUUGUUCCAUAUGUAGCCUACCUACCGGGGCCACAGUCAGCUGUUUUUGUCACUGCGGAGAAAAAGUUGCAUAUUCCACUGCUUGAUGUGUGAUGGCACGGUGUGGAUUCUCUGUUUACUCAUUUGCUCCCGGAAACGUAUAAAUACGUUCUAUUUGAAAAUGCUGUCCCAAAAACGUAUUUAUACGUCUUUUGCGGGUUUUUUUAAUAAGAAGCAUAUAUAGUUUCCGCUGUAUCUAAGAAACACAGAACAGCGCUCCAAACCCAUUUUAAAGCAACAAAACUGGCCACUGGAGGGCAGUAGCGCAUUUUGUAAGACCAGCCAACCCGAUUCAACAGCAGUGAACGGCCGGGCAGCAUGGUCAGAGCGCUGGCGGCAUGAAGCCAGGCGGCGCUCCGACCGAACAAAACAACGAGAGGACGCCUGGGACGCCAGGCGCUGGACGACCGUGCAAAACGAGUGA